GGCUUCGCUUCCUGGUGGAAGGCACACCUGGGAGCCUGGUCUCUCCCUGGAAAACGCAAAGGGGGCGGCGUUGCUGGAAACGUGGUGGUGUCUGCUCUGCUGUCCUAAGAGGAAAGACACUGUGGGGGACCCUGAGGCUACUGCAUUCUUUUUCUGGGCAGCCCAUCUAGCUCCAAUUUGGGACGCUUCCGCUUACGAAACCAGGCACAACUCCGAUGGGGGUGUUUCCAGCGCUUGGCCUUGCUGAGCGUGGCGGUCCUUCUCACCCAAGGAAACCAGAGAAUGAAGAGCCAAUGGGAGUGUGCAGGGUCAAGGAAAAAUGUCUUGCAUGCAUCUCCAGAGGGGUUUGGAAUUUUCAGCUGAAACUAAAGGUUUGACUCAAAUGUCUGAUGAGCUUGGAGCAUCUGCUUAAUUUGGAAAUGAAGAAAUCCCAGAUUCACUGGGAGUACUGGGUACUGAGUAACCAAGAAAUAAUUCCAUUGCUGCUUCCCCGGAAGAAAUGGGAAGAAUGUUCUGAGUUGCAGGCAGUUUCAAUGGUAAGAAUGAAUGGAUGGUGGAAAUUCACGGAAGAUGAGACUGUUUCUCUUCUCCUGGUUCCCAUUGUGGCCCCUUAAGAGAUCAGAUCAGGGAGAACCAUUGCCUUUCCCGCAGCUGCUUUACACAUACUGGGUUUCUUUUCUCCCCCACCAAUGUAGACCUGAUCUUGUCACUAAUAUUUUCCUUAAUGAAUGCUUUUUAUGUGCCAUGUAUAAGACACACAUCGUUUUAUUUAAUCCUAGCCACCCUACAGGUUAUUAUCUAUCUAUUUAUUUAUUUUGCUUUUUAGGGCUGCACCUGUGGCAUAUGGAAGUUCCCAGA